AUGUUUUCUUUUACAUCCUGUCCUGCCUCGUGUCGUUCUGGGUAUCUGCACAUUGGGUCCUACUCCUCCAACCCUCAACGUGACAGAAUGGACCAGCCAACCCAGGACCCAGCAACAACCCCAGGUGAUCCAACACUGCGCCAAGGGAUGUACACCUUCGACAGUGACCCGGACACCUGUCGCAAAUUUAUUUGGGACUGUGUCAGCUUCGUGGAUAUGGACGGCUUGGACGUGGACCUAGUUAUAUUUAUGGUGCUGUGCCUAAAGGGUAAAGCCCUGCAAUGGGCUGCCCGCUAUUUCGAGCAGUAUCCUAUAGGAGAAGUUGGUUUUUGGAUUUUUGCCAAUGAUCUACAAGAUGCCUUCUGCGGCAACCCACAACCACCCUCUUCACUCACCGCCACACCUUCAUCUGGCCGAGGCAGCGCUACCGGCUUUUCCCUGGUGGACUACCAUCUGUUAGCUGCCUCCCUCUUAUUAGGCGCCCUCUCUGCAUCUCCAAGGGGCCGAAUCUGCACAUCUUCACACGGUCCAGAGACAGCGCUACCUCCUCAUCUCAGGUGGUCUGCCAUUCAUCCUCAUCCUCUGCCUCAGCUGGUGCCAUCUCCACACGUCAACACAGUCACCGGCAGUCUCCUGAGGCCAGAGCAGCACCGUCAGUCCGGGUGUUUCCUACUCUGCAACCCCGGCCUGUCCAAAAAGCUCUGCCUGCAGCGGCCCAGCCCGUCCAAAAAGCUCCGCCUGCAGCGGCCCAGCCCGUCCAAAAAGCUCCGCCUGCAGCGGCCCAGCCCGUCCAAAAAGCUCCGCCUGCAGCGGCCCAGCCCGUCCAAGAGGCUCCGCCUGCAGCGGCUCAGCUGGUCCAAGAAGCUCCACCCCUGUCCCAGCUGGCCUAGCCGGUCCGAGAGUCCUCGUCUUUGCCUGCAGGGUCUACGCCUGCAGUGUACUGGUCUACGCCUGCAGUGUUCUGGUCUACACCUGCAGGGUCUUCGUCUGCAGAGUCUCCAGAGUUUUCGUCUGCAGAGUCUCCUCCUCAUCCUCCAGAGACUACGUCCACUCAGCCUGCAGAGUCUUCGCCAGCCGAGUCUCCAGAGUCUUCGCCAGCCGAGUCUCCUCCUCAGUCUCAUCCUCCUCCACCAAAGUCGUCGUCCCUCAGGGCUGUGCAGCGACAUUUGA
rnacentral:lncRNA from 1 species